rnacentral:lncRNA from 1 species
GCUGUUGACAAUUCCUUUCAAAGGCUGAACAAUCCCUUCACUUCUCAAAUUCUUCGUGGGAGUAGGGCAGCCCGGAGUGAUUCCUAGAGAUCCUGUCUUCCCAGGUUUGGAUUGGAGCUCAGUCCAUUCACAGCUUGGACCUCAGCUCACCUCACCUUACAGGAAGCUAUUCAUAGUGGCUCCAAGUUGAAGUGGCCAUGAGGAAGGCAUUUCCCUUCAUCCAGAGCCAGUUCCUGUAGCAAGCCCUCAGCUGCCAACAUUGCCAGAAGCCGAGAACUGAGAACUUCAAUAAAUAUUAAAUACGCCUACCAAAAUGGGAUUGGACGGAAAGGCCCAGAAGCCAGGGCCACGAGGGGACAGCCUACAGCUAAUGACAGAAAGCUGAGCCACCACAUACCUUGAAGCCAGGCUUACUGUAUGGUGGAUGUUGACCAGUUUUUAGACCCACAGACACCAUGUAUGGCAAGUACUGUGGGGACGGCCCCUGAGAGCGGAAGAACAGCAUUGCCCACAGAGGGCAAUUCCUUGUUCCGAAUAGUCUGACUCCAGCCUCUUACCUACACCACUCAUAUAACUGAAGUUAUGUGGCUCUGAGAGCCGAGUCAGAGAACAAGAGAACAUUCUAGGAGGACAAGCUAGAACAAGCGAAAAGGCUCCAGGGCUUCAGUCAGGACUCUCAAAUAAAGAGGUCAAGUUAGCUGCCCUAUCCAACUUCAUGAAGAUGACCAGGCAACAAAAACCACUCACAGCUGGGCAGUGGUGGCACACACCUUUAAUCCCAGCACUGGGGAGGCAGAGGCAGGCAUCUCUGUGAGUUUGAGGCCAGCCUGGUCUACAAAGUGAGUUCCAGGAUGGCAGGACUACACACACACACACAUACACACACACACACACACACACACACACACACACACACACCUCACAGUCCUAUAGUUUUUGAUGAGGUGUUGAACAACUCAUUCAAAAUAUCAGUCAGCGAUAGCGUUCACAUACUUGAAUAAAAAGUUAGCAUAACGGACAGAUAAAAAUGAUUGCUUUCACAUUGUUAUGUCUUCUGUCUAUUAAUGGUAUUAAUAAAUAUACUUUUAUGCUAUAGUUUGAAUGUACACCCAAAAAUUAGGUGAGUGAAGCUUGAUCCCCAGUGUAAGUGUGCUAAAAUGUAGAGCCUUUUAGUGGGUGAUGAGGUCUUGGGGGUUCUAUCCUUGUGGAUAGGUUAAUGCCACUGUCUUGGGAACUGGUCAGUUGUUGCCAGUGUAGACUAGCUAUAAAACCACAUUCAGCUCUCUCUCAGGUUAUGAAGCCCUCUGCCAUGCUAGGAGCAGGACCAGGCUCACAACAGAUCUGCCCCUUGACCUUGGGCUUCUCAGCUUCAGGGCUGAAUAAAUUUCUGUUGCGAGCUUUCUGGUCUAUGUUAGUAGGAGAUAGCCCAGAAAGUCAAGGCAUGCAAAACCGUAUUUCAAAGUUUCUCACAGAAAUUUAUGCAGAGCUCCAGAAAUUCUCAUGGUAUGACCUUCCUCUUACAAGAAAGAAAACUGAAGCCCUGGGAAGGGAGAGACCCAGCUGGUUCUAGAACCUUCUGGCUGGUGAUGGAUGAAGGCACAGAAAACCCAGCCAGAUCCUCCACCUGUCUCCAUGACCUCUAAACUUGCCCCCGGCUCCCAGAGGCAUUUCCCCCGGGGGUCCUCAUUUUGGGGAAUUACAGGAGUCAUUUCCCACAGUUUGCAACAUUUUCUGAAGAUGGAGAACAAACAGCUGAAGGAUUUUUAAGCUAAUUUGAGAACCCAUAAGAUUUUGUGCUACAGUUUCGUCAAGUCCUCCAUUGGCACCUUGCAAAUCUUUAUCACACAGUAUUCAGCUGUCUUCGGUCUGUAAUUCAAGUCCCAGCAAAAAAAGAUUAGCGAAGCCCUAUCAAGAACUGAGAGCAAGCCGCUGAUGCCCACACACAACUAAGGAGGGCAGGCACACAGCAGGCAGCCACUUAAAAAUAUUUCUUAAUUUUAUCACAAAAGUCAUUUUCAUGUGACAGUAAACACUCUCCCUCCUCCCUCUCCUCCUCCUGUUGGUCCCCCAACACCCUAGAUAUUUUUAUUUCAACUUUCACAGCAUUUGUAUAAGUAUGGCUUUAUAUUCCUACGUCACAAGCUAGAAUCUUGUAAAUGAGGAAAACGUAUUUGUCUUUCUGAAACACAUUUAAUUCAUUUAAUAUGAUUAUCUCUGGUUGUAUCCAUUUCCCUCAUGUGACCCAUGACAUACCUUCGUUCUUUAUGACUGAAGAAGAAUGUACCAUGUAGAGAGACCACAUCUUCUCUGUCCAUUCUCUGGUGAUCGACACUGAGUGCUGUA